UACGGAGGGUGCAAGCGUUAUCCGGAUUCACUGGGUUUAAAGGGUGCGUAGGAGGAUAGGUAAGUCAGUGGUGAAAUCUCCGAGCUUAACUCGGAAACUGCCGUUGAUACUAUUUAUCUUGAAUACCGUGGAGGUGAGCGGAAUAUGUCAUGUAGCGGUGAAAUGCUUAGAUAUGACAUAGAACACCAAUUGCGAAGGCAGCUCACUACACGAAUAUUGACUCUGAGGCACGAAAGCGUGGGGAUCAAACAGG
rnacentral:rRNA from 2 species